UAGGAUCGUAAUAUUGUAAGAUACAAGUCCAACAUUUGACCGCUCGUCUUAUUUGAAAGAAUUUUAUGAUUAGUAAUUUUAUUAUUAUAUUAGAUGAUAAAAUAUAAAUAGUACUUUAUAUGUGAAUAGUUUUAUAAAAAAGUUUUAAUAAAUUUUUUAAAUAAGAUGGACGGUUAAACGUUGGACACCGAUAUAUAUGACUGCACUUAUU
rnacentral:pre_miRNA from 1 species